rnacentral:rRNA from 1 species
CGCCUUGCCAGCCCGCUCAGAACUUAAAUGAAUUGACGGGGGCCCGCACAAGCGGCGGAGCAUGCGGAUUAAUUCGAUGCAACGCGAAGAACCUUACCAAGGCUUGACAUGCACCGGAAACCAUCAGAGAUGGUGGCUCCGUAAGGCUGGUGCACAGGUGGUGCAUGGUUGUCGUCAGCUCGUGUCGUGAGGUGUUGGGUUAAGUCCCGCAACGAGCGCAACCCUCGUACUUAGUUGCCACCAUUAAGUUGGGCACUCUAGGUAGACUGCCGGCGUUAAGCCGGAGGAAGGUGGGGACGACGUCAAGUCAUCAUGGCCCUUAUGUCCAGGGCCACACACGUGCUACAAUGGGCGGCACAAAGGGUCGCGAACCCGCGAGGGGGAGCCAAUCCCAAAAAGCCGUUCUCAGUUCGGAUUGUUCUCUGCAACUCGAGAGCAUGAAGUUGGAAUCGCUAGUAAUCGCGGAUCAGCUCGCCGCGGUGAAUACGUUCCCGGGCCUU